rnacentral:lncRNA from 7 species
UCUGACUGUCCCUUGUCCAUCCAUGUCCCGUGUCCAACUGUCCCAUGUCCAUCCCAUGUCCUGUGUGCAUGUCCCGCGUCCAUCCCAUGUCCGUCCAUGUCCCGAGUCCAUCCCAUGUCCCAUGUCCAUCCCGUGUCUCGUGUGCAUCCAUGUCCCGCGUCCAUCCAUGUCUCGUGUCCAUCCAUGUCCCGUGUCCAUCCCAUGUUCCAUGUCCAUCCAUGUCCCGUGUCCAUCCCAUGUUCCGUGUCCAUCCAUGUUCUGUGUCUGACUGUCCCAUGUCCAUGCAUGUCCCAUGUCCAAGUGUUCCAUGUCCAUCCCAUGUCCCGUGUGCAUGUCCCGCGUCCAUCCCAUGUUCAUCCAUGUCCCGUGUCCAUCUCAUGUCCCAUGUCCAUCCCCUGUCCCGUGUGCAUCCAUGUCCUGCAUCCAUCCCGUGUGCAUCCAUGUCCCGUGUCCAUCCCAUGUUCCGUGUCCAUCCAUGUUCUCUGUCUGACUGUCCCAUGUCCAUCCAUGUCCCGUGUCCAACUGUCCCAUGUCCAUCCCAUGUCCUGUGUCCAUCCAUGUCCCACGUCCAUCCCGUGUCCAUCCCAUGUCCCAUGUCUAUCCCAUGUCCUGUGUGCAUCCAUGUCCCGUGUCCAUCCCAUGUCCAUCCAUGUCCCGCGUCCAUCCCGUGUUCAUCCCAUGUUCCGUGUCCGACUGUCCCAUGUCCAACUGUCCCAUGUCCGACUGUCCCGUGUCCAUCCCGUGUUCCGUGUCCAACUGUCCCAUGUCCGACUGUCCCGUGUCCAUCCCAUGUUCCGCGUCCAACUGUCCCAUGUCUGACUGUUCUGUGUUCAGCUGUUCUGUUUCCAUCCCAUGUUCUGCAUCCGACUGUCCCGUGUCCAUCCCACGUCCCAUACCUAUCCCAUGUCCGACUGUCCCGUGUCCAUCCCACGUGUGACCAUUCCGUGUGUCGGUCCCAUGUAUGACCAUUCCAUAGAUGUCUGUCCCACGUACGACCAUUCAAUGUACGUCUGUCCCACAUAUGACCGUUCCAAGAGUCCAUCCCACAUAUGACCAUUCCAUGUAUGUCCAUCCCAUAUAUGACCAUUGCAUGUAUGCCCAUCCCACGUGUGACCAUUCCAUGUGUCCGUCCCACGUAUGACCCUUCCAUGUAUGUCCAUCUCACAUAUGACCAUUGCAUGGAUGUCCAUCCCACGUGUGACUGUUUCCUGUGUGUGUCUCACGUAUGACCGUUCCAUGUGUCCAUCCCAUGUAUGACCGUUCCAUGUGUCCGUCCCACGUAUGACCGUUCUGUGUGUCCGUCCCACGUAUGACCGCUCCGUGUGUCCGUCCCACGUAUGACCGCUCCGUGUGUCCGUCCCACAUACGACCAUUUUGGGGCAAAUUCCCCCAAUUUCAGUCCGGAGUGCCACAAUCGACUCCAAUUUCGCCGUCUGUGGUCCCAAAGUGUCCCUUUGGGCUCCGAUUUCCCCAUAGUUGGUGCAGUGUCCCUUUUAACUGCAAUGUGUGGGUCGUUUCCCCGCGUCUGCUCCAAUGUGUGGGUCCAAUGUGUGGGUCCAAUGUGUGGGUCCAAUGUGUGGGUCAUUUCCCCACAUUUGCUCCAAUGUGUGGGUCCAGUGUGUGGGUCCAAUGUGUGGGUCAUUUCCCCACAUUUGCUCCAAUGUGUGGGUCCAAUGUGUGGGUCCAAUGUGUGGGUCCAAUGUGUGGGUCGUUUCCCCACAUUUGCUCCGAUGUGUGGGUCCAAUGUGUGGGUCCAAUGUGUGGGUCAUUUCCCCACAUUUGCUCCAAUGUGUGGGUCCAAUGUGUGGGUCCAAUGUGUGGGUCAUUUCCCCACAUUUGCUCCAAUGUGUGGGUCCAAUGUGUGGGUCCAAUGUGUGGGUCCAAUGUGUGGGUCGUUUCCCCACAUUUGCUCCGAUGUGUGGGUCCAAUGUGUGGGUCAUUUCCCCAUGUCUGCUCCAAUGUGUGGCUGCAAUGUGUGGGUCGUUUCCCCACGUUUGCCCCACAGCCAUGCAGGCCGCUUUCCCCCAUCACGGCCCCCCAACCCCCACCUCCGCGCCCCACCACAUCACCCCCCCCCCCCCCCCGUCAGGACCCCCCUCCCCAACCCUUCACCCCCCCAACCAUCCCCCCCCCCCUUCCAGCCUUCUCCCCCCACCCCCCACAUCACCCCC